rnacentral:misc_RNA from 1 species
UGGGAUUCCGCAACAUUCUCACCUUCGACGACAAAGACAUUUCCACCGAAUACUCCGCGUUGAUGAGCAAGGUGAUGAGCAAUGGCAACGGCUUCGUGAAGUUUCCAAUCAACGAACCGGCCGAGGGCAAAAAGAAAUCGCAGGUGGAAGAGUAUCUCGAUUUUUACAACGGCGAAGGUGUGCAGCACGUCGCGAUCGCGACCAAGGAUAUCGUCAAGACCGUGACCGAGGUUCAGAAGCGCGGCAUCGAGUUCUUGAAUAUUCCAUCCACGUAUUACGAUGAGUUACCCGCUCGCGUCGGUCA